GAACGGUAACAUCCAUAGUGUCUUGUGUGUUACUCUUAUUGCCUGUGGUAACAUGCGUACUUGCACUUCCAUAGUCUCUGGAAUGGGAAUCGCUAAAUGCUACGUGUAGAAGAGAUGUCGUUUCUUCAGGUCUUGAACUUGCAUUAGUUGUUAAAAAUUGAGGGUCACCAUUGUCUAAUGUUACACAACAUUGUGGUUGAUUGCAGUUGCUCUCAUUGUUGUUGACUUCUCCAUUGAGUUGCACUACAGAGUCAAAAUCAGCAGAGUUAUUGUCUGAUGUUUUAUUGCCUCCCAAUACUUUUUUAGAAGCUUUACUUCUUCUUCUUUUUACCAGCACCAAUACACUCAAUAGAAGAAGAACAACGACAGCAACGGUCGUUAACGUUAUUGCAAUUAUAGUUGUUGUUGAAGUUGUAUUGCAAGUCUCAACUGUAUAUGCAUUUUGUCCGUUAAUUUUUAUGAGUUGAGGCCAGGCCGAGGCAUAGGUGUAUACGACUGACAAUUUGCAAACAUCUUGCGACUUCAAACCGAAACUACAAACGUCAUGAGAGUCGUUUGCAUACUAAACUGUCGCAUUGACCUCGGACCCGUUAGCGUACGCUAUCCAAAGUUUUAAUGUGUGUUUGCAGUACAUUGAAGGCUGACUUUGAACUGUCGUAUUCCUCACUUUUAAUUUAAUUUUGCAGUAAAGUUCGUCUGAUUCGCUUUGAUUACAAUGGACGGUCGUAUCUCUCACAGAUAAGCGCCAUUCUAUGUUUGUGUCACAGAGUACAGAGGUUUGCACCUCAAUCUGCAGACAUUUGUUUGUUUUAGAGCAAUCAGCAAGAAUUUCCAAGUUUCCUGCAGUGACAGCUGCGGUAAUCGAAUUUUUGUGACAGUCAUUUGGUUUGAGAAGAACACUGACGUCUGUUGCUGUCAGAUUGGCAGAGCAACAUAACGUUUGACCAAAGUCUAGAGCAAUUCCUGCUUGAGGAUUGGAAUGGUCGGCGAGAGUCGGACUGACGUCUGUGGUCUGCCCGAUGUCCCAGCAGCGGUCCGGGCGAAUUUUUUUUUGGGACGAGGUUACGACUUAGCCGCUGGAGCGAAAGUGGUCUGUUAGUACGAGGCUCGCAGCGCAGCUUUGAUUCUCGGUAGUCAAUGGACAUGUUACAACCGCGAUUUUGACGGGGCCCCAGUUUUGAACGUCACGUCGGCUGAACGUGGUUUUCUCGGCACAAAUCGACUUCAAAUAUAUUGGACGGCAGAGUGUGCAAUUGAAGAUUGGCAACAUCCGGGACCUUUGGGUCAGAGUUCAAAUGCGGAAGGGGCACAUACAUAAGUUUCCUUGAGCAAGGAACUAACAUACAAUUGCCUCAGUUCUGUCCAAGCAGCAAAGAAGAAGUGACAUAUAGAAAGUGACUACUGAUAGUGUUUUGAUUGUAUGGUAGUAUCAUAGAAAGUAUCAUGGCAAGUACUUAGCAUCUGUAGUAACCUAGGCCCUAAGGGCCCUUGUAACAAAAAGAUAUGUAUGUAUGUAUAUAUGUAUGUAUAUAUGUAUGUAUAUAUGUAUGUAUAUAUGUAUGUAUAUAUGUAUGUAUGUAUGUAUGUAAUUAUACCUUUGGGAUAACUGGUUAUACAAGAGUAAAUCCAUCUGUUUCUUUGUUCUGCACUUUAUGAACAGUUCUAAUAGUUGCAUUUGCAACAACUAGAAUGAGCAAUUAAAUAUUAAAUGUGCAGGAAAUGCAUGUAUCUAGGUGCAGAGAAUAUACUGGUGACACAUUUUCUAAUAACUUACUCAUUUCACAAAAAACUAUUUAGAUGGUAUUGUACACUUAUUCUGAACUGAGCAAAUGA